rnacentral:lncRNA from 1 species
AUUUUAAUUAAAUCCUAAUAAGAAAAUAUAAUAUAUUAGCUAACCUCUCCAUCCUUCCUCAACCCUUAGAUCCCCAAUCUGCUCCUCAACUGGCAAGUUAACAAAUUCUGCGAAACAAGAAAUAUAGGUGUAUUCAACAGAUUUGAAGAAUGAAUAUAAGCCAAAGAAAAUGAGAAAAUGAGAAUGAAUAUGAUGCAGUCAUGCAUAAAGAUAUGUACUUUGAACCGAAUUCAAAGAACUACGACGAUUUUCGGGAUUCGACAACCAAUGUUCUUAACCAAGAACUCACACAAAGAGAAUACUCUUAUCAAAACACACAAUUCAAUUAACCAAUCAACACCUACUUGGCCAAUGGCCUACAACUCUUUAAAUAGGAAAAACAAUCCUUGGAAAACAAGGAAACCUAAACCUAGACCAAUUCUAAUGAAAAUACAAAACAUAAUUCGAAAUUAAAAUAACCCUAAAAUAGAAAUAUCCUAAAACACCUAAAAACACCAAUUAAACAUAAACUUAAAUAUCCCCAAUAAUUCUAAAAACAUAUAGUAGUAAUCCUAGCACAAAUUAGUGGCUUUAAACCCUAGAAUGUAUCAGAAUAUAGUCUUACCACUCUGUUCAAGACUUGUAUUUAUCACAAAUUUGGAUCUGUAAGGGCUUGAAGUCUGCAGUCCAUUAGCAUUAUUAAAAUCAUGGUGGUCCCCUCCAUAGCUUGUGAUUUCCUUGUCUUGUUGGAUAAGGUGACUAUUGUUUUUAAAUGGGAGAAUGGGUAGGUGGUGGGGACUUAGUUCUAUUUAGAAUUGACUCUUUAUACUGUUGUAGUUCUUUGAAGGCAAUCAAAGAAGCUUCAGGAAUAAUAUCCACAUACAAAUGUGUGAAACCUUCACCAUCUUCUAUUGCUUCAUCCCACAUUUCCAUCACAUUGUCAUCAGUUUCAAGUUCUAUCUGAACCCCUUCCCUCCCUUCAAAGAUAGCAUACAAAGCAAGUUUAGCAUCUUUAGUUCAUGGAAUGUUGUCCUUAAUCCAGUUAACUAACUCCAUCAAAGAAACAAAAUCCCCAUCCCAAUCUAAAGCAUCCUUUACCCUCCCACCAAUGUACUUCAUCAACAAAAAGUCAUUCCUUUCUCCCAACUCACUCCAUGUUCCCUUAUAAUGGAACCUUAAAUUUCUAAUUUUAACCUCACUCAUUUUUCGACUCUACAAACAAAAACAAAGCACACUAACAUUCAGAACAUACUACAACAACAUAGCACAAUAUAUAUAUAUAUAUAUAUAUAUAUAUAUAUAUAUAUAUAUAUAUAUAUAUAUAUAUAUAUAUAGGGGUGUGUGUGUGUGUGUGUGUGUGUUUUUUAUAUAGAGAGAGAGAGAGAGAGAGAGAGAGAAAAAAAAAAUAUAUAUUUAUAUUGAGCGCAUGGAGAGAGGGAGAGGGGGGGGGGGAAUCUCUCUCUCUCUCUCUCUUUCUUGUGUGGGUGGGGGGGGGGGGCGAGCGAGAGAGAGAGAGAGAUAGAGAGAGAGAGAGAGAGAGAGAGANNNNNNNNNNNNNNNNNNNNNNNNNNNNNNNNNNNNNNNNNNNNNNNNNNNNNNNNNNNNNNNNNNNNNNNNNNNNNNNNNNNNNNNNNNNNNNNNNNNNAGAGAGCAUCAGAAGCCUCCGGAACAUUUCUCUCUUCUCUUUUGUAAUCUUCUUUUAAUCUUUUAGUUUUUCAAUCUUUCGGUCUUUAGUUUUUACCUGAAGCUUUCUUCACGGGGUGUGUAACUACUACUUAGUUGUAUAAUAUACAAGUUAUAUAUGAAUAAAGCUUCCUAAUUCAGUAAGUAUUGCGCCUCUUUUAUUUUAAUUUCUACUCUGCAUUUUUUCUGUUUUAAUUUUAUCUUAUAAUGGAACCUUAAAUUUCUAAUUUUAACCUCACUCAUUUUUCGACUCUACAAACAAAAACAAAGCACACUAACAUUCAGAACAUACUACAACAACAUAGCACAAUAUAUAUAUAUAUAUAUAUAUAUAUAUAUAUAUAUAUAUAUAUAUAUAUAUAUAUAUAUAUAUAUAUAUAUAUAUAUAUAUAUAUCAGCUUUCAGUUGAUAUCACUACAACAAUAUACAAGCACAGAAAAAAAACGAAGUAUACAAAGGAUAGUAAGAAAAAUGUAUACAUAUGAUUUUGUAUUGGACUAUUGGUAGUUCAGUGGUAGAUUGGUAGUAGUAGUAAAGAAUAACAAAACAAAGUGCACUCCAUUCAAGUUUAGCUAUUUACAAAGUUUGAUAUGUUUGCAAGUUGGAAAAUUCACCAACACUUAUUACUUUGCAUUUCAGCAUUUGAAUACCCAAAAAUUACAAACUCAAGAUCUCUACAUUUGAUUACCCUUCCAGUGAUCAAAAACCCAAAAACCCUAACAUUAUUCAAGUUCAAGCUAUCACAAACUAUCAACAUUCAGUAGAAAACCCAUUAAACAUCAAAACUGGAAAAAAAAAAAAUCAAUUUUUUUUCAUAUUAACUGAUGGAUAUAUGAAUUAGGGAUCACUAAAAUCAAAUCACUAUUAAGUAUCAUGAUCUAAACAUUCAUCAAGGUAUAAAAUUGAAAUUAGUAAGAGGAAGUGUGUUACCUUGAAACGAGAA